AUAUUGCACAAUGGGCGAAAGCCUGAUGCAGCAACGCCGCGUGAGUGAUGAAGGCCUUCGGGUCGUAAAACUCUGUCCUCAAGGAAGAUAAUGCCGGUACUUGAGGAGGAAGCCCCGGCUCACUACGUGCCAGCAGCCGCGGUAAUACGUCGGGGGCUAGCGUUAUCCGGAUUUACUGUGCGUAAAGGGUGCGUAGGCGGUCUUUCAAGUCAGGAGUGACAGGCUACGGCUCAACCGUAGUACGCUCUUGAAACUGGGAGACUGGAGUGCAGGAGAGGAGAGUGGAAUUCCGAGUGUAGCGGUGAAAUGCGUAGCAAUUAGGCGGAACCCCAUUUGAGAAGGCGGCCCUCUGGACUGUAACUGACGCCGAGGCACGAAAGCGUGGGGAGCACACAGGAUUAGAUACCCUGGUAGGCCACGCUGUAAACGAUGAGUACUAGGGUUGGG
rnacentral:rRNA from 1 species